rnacentral:SRP_RNA from 1 species
CCACACAGCCGGGGAGGUAGCGGCACCUUGUACCUGCAAUCCGCUAUAGCAGGGGUGAUGAUUUGACUGAGGGCGGUCUGCCUGUAGGGCUGCCCCUUGUAAGUGGCGUUGAAGCUUGGGUCUUGUGCAACAGGAACCUGUGAACCGUGUCAGGUCGGGAACGGAGCAGCACUAAGCAGGACCUCUUGUGUGACGCGAGGGUGCCUGAGCCGAGUUAACUGCAAGGGUAACGCUUAUGGACAGCGUUCGAAGCAAAUCGUGUGG